ACAUCAAAGACUUUGCACGAGAUAAAGAUAUUAGGUUAAUGCCUUUUGUUCCUCAACUGAACGUUUUAGUCAGUGAACAGAAUUAAUUGUGUUGACAUAAUGGAUUUAUUGUUUCAACAAAAUGCCCGUCUGUUUUCACACAGUGGAUAAGGGAUUUGACAAAACUAAUGCUUAUAUCAAGGGAUUCUUACAUAGAUGAAUUAUCAACCUGAUAAAAUGCCACUAGUGUAAAAGAGAACAUGAAGGGGGGGGGGGGAAGAGUCUAUAGCCCAGAGGCAUUAGUGCUUAUAAGAAGUACAUAAAAAAUGCAUUACUUUUACUUUUGCAUAGCUUUUUGUGAUGAGGAAGGUGCUGCUGAUACGGACCACAUGCUUCCACACACCUCUGCUUGCAAAGGUGAAAGCCCGCUUCCCAAAAACCUGUAAGGCCUGCCUACAGUCAGGAGUUGUGGGUAAGGAAAGCACUCAGCCUGGGCCAGCAGGGAGGGAAAGGCUGUGGGUGUCAUCUGCCUAGACUUUAAUAGAGUCUUUGACACCAUUUCCCACAGCAUUCUUCUGGAGAAACUGGCAGCUCAUGGCUUGGACAGGCGUACUCUUUGCUGGGUAAAAAGCUGACUGAAUGACUGAGCCCAAAGAGUGGUGGUGAAUGGAGGUAAAUCCAAUUGGCAGAUGGUCACAAGUUGUGUUUCCCAGGGCUCAGUACUGGGGCCAGCUCUGUUUGAUAUCUUCAUCAAUGAUCAGCACAAGAUCAGUUGUUGUGCUGGAGGUUUGGAAGGCUCUGCAGAGGCAUCUGGACAGACUGGAUUGAAGGGCCACGGCCAGUGGUGCGAGGUUCAAUAAGGCAAAGUGCUGGGUCCUGCACUUGGUCCGCAACAAACUCAUGCAAUGCUCCAGGCUUGGGGAAGAGUGGCCAGAAAGCUGCCUGGUGGAAGAGGACCUGGAGGGGCUGGUGGACAUCCACUUUUCUGCACAUCCCUGGGAGUGAAGCAAGGAGCUGGAGCAGAGAGCAAUGAACACUGGUGGUACUGAAUAGCCUGCAAAAUCCAUCUGAGAAACACAGUGUUUGCAAUGCAGAGGGUUUCUGUGGAGUCAGGGCAUGAAACUUGCUUAUACAGAAGUCAGCCAAAUUUUUUGUCUGUCUGUGCAAGCUAAUUUCUGUCUGCAUCAACAAACGAAAACUGGUUUUGUCCCUUCAGCACCGGGCUGUAGCCUUUCAGACAGCACCCCCCAGUAUGAUCUGAGAGCUUUAUGUUUAGGAAGAACCAUCAAGAAGACAAUUAUAUUCACGUGCUAAGCAAUGUAGGGCAUGUCCUGUCUGUGACAACCUUGCUCUGAACUGAACUCUGCUGCCUCAGUUCUGGGCUUCUUUCAGCCUGAGGCACCGAGUGGAACCAGGCUGGAGGGAGGGGUUGGUGAUGUGCAGCAUCAGGGAACUCAAAGAUAAGGGAAACACAAAAGAGCUGAAAAGAUCAGAAAAAGAGAAAGAGGUAAGAAUGAGAGAGACAAAGAAAAAAGGGUGAAGAAAAAUUAUGAAGAGAUAAGAAAGCAGAGGGAAAGCCAUUGUCAUCUGAUUUCUUUGUACAAAUCAUAGAAUCUUUUAUAAUGGAAAAGACCUUUAGGAUUGAGUCCAGCUGUUAUCCUAGCACUGCCAAAGCCACCACUAAAUCAUGUCCUUAAGUGCCACAUCUACACAUCUUGUAAAACCUAAGUUAAUUUCUUAAUGAGUUUUUUGCUUUUCUUUAUGUUUAAAACCAGUUAGAACUCAUCUUCUUCUAAAGAGAUUAGGUAGUGCAGAAUAGUUUUCCUGUAGCCCCCGUACCCUUCAUGUAUGUAUAAAAUCAGGAGGUGCAGCUGAGGACACACGUACAGGGCCAGCUGACCUGCGGCCAGUGAUUCCUGAGCUAGCACAGAGUGGGCAUUGAGGAAAGGUAUCACUUCUGGAGAGGGUGUUGCAUCAAAGCGGUCAAACCCUGUUCAGUAGGUGUACUGUCUCAGAAGCAGCACAUUCAAAGCAGAAACAGAGUCACCACUUGCCCAAAGGAGGUAAGCAGUAUGUAAUGAAUUUGGGAUGUGAAGUGGAGGUAUAAAGGAGCUAGAGAAGAAAAGGUCAGAGUGGGUUUGUGACUGGGAAAUAUCACUAGCCAAAAGGAAUGUACAUGUUUGGAUGCAUGGAAGGAUGGGAGAUCCAGAAAUCAUGUGAAAAGGAAAAGUUUUUCUUUCUAGAGAAGGACUGGGUUUCUGUUUCUGACUACGGUAGCAGUGCUCCAGCCCUGCAGUAGUCUGGUCAGCUGCCAUAUAGGUGGACGAGGCCGACUACAGACUGCCCUGCAUUACCCAAAUGUUCGCUGGAAAGACUCUUCUUACCUUUGCUGUUCAGUUCAUUGCCACAACACAUUGCCUUGUUAAUUUGAAAAUACACAGAAAGCACACUGGAUAAUUGCAGCAGCACAACUCAUUUUGCGGCCAGAAAUGAGCAGCCUGAGCUCCUGUUUCUUCCUCUCUGUACUGGCCGUCUUUCUUCCUGACUAUUUCUUUCAAAAUAAGCCAUACAUGUGUGACCGGUGUUUCCUUUUUUCUCCAGGCAGAUGCACUCUUGCUAUCACCCUGGGGAAGGAAAGCGUCAGAAGUAAACAGAGCUCAUUUACUAAUCUGUCCUUCAGAAGAAGACACGCUCAGCUCUGAUGCUGACUUAGUGGUGAUUUGGAGCAUGCAUAUGGUCAGUUCACUCAUCUCAAUGCAUCUACAGGGAGGGAACUUCUGGUUGAGGGAGCAAUAAUUUCUGCCAUUCGCAUUGGAUCAGCAGCUGCACAAGCCCCAUACACAGAUUUCACAGCACUGAGAAACUACGCCUGAGAAAUACAGUCCCUCUUGAAGGAACACUGGCAUGGAACUGCAGUGAAAAUCAGUGUUAAACUUUGAAGUUCACAGCCGACUGUUCUUGUGUGUGGAGCAGCUGGUGGCAUGAAAAGAAAAUGAAAUCAACUCUCAAUGAAAGCAAUGAGAUGUUAAAAGCACUUGGGUGAAAAUUGUGAGUUCUGCUGCUGCCCACGUCUCAGCUGCAAGCUGGGAAGUUGGUCUUCCUCAUCAGCAGCUCCCACAUAAAAAAUACUGCAAUGGGUCUCGAACCACAGAGAUGUUACUUUGCAGUUGAGGAAUGGCUCCAAACUCCCACUCUUCUUGUGUAUGAUCCAGCCUGUAAUAAUCGCAUGUCACACACCCCUCGCACUGCAUUGGCAUUCCCUUCUCCCUCUUUGAUACUUCCCUUCAGCCAGAUUGAUACUUCUUCAUUCAAUUUUCUCUUUACCUUUGUAUUAUAAAUACUGAUCUCUCCACCUCAGCUAUUAAUUGCAAUUUUGGUCAAUAUGUUAGUUUAUGCUGAAAAUGCAGAGGAGAAAUUAUGGCUUGCCUGGAGGAGUUCACAUUGGGGAAAAGGUGCAGGACCAUUUAAAACACCCCUUGACACCUUGCUUAGACAGUUUAAGACUUUCUGUCUGGUCUCAUUUCUCAUCUUUCUGCUGUCCUAUUUAUAGGGGAAGACAAUAACAUUACAAAUGUACCUGAGAAAGCUGGUGUUAGGACUAAAGUUUCUGCAGGUGUUUGAAGACGAUAUAUAGCUGGUAGGUAUUAAGAGACAGAUGGACCAAGUCCAAAAAUCUCAGGUCAAGACUAAUUCAUACUGUCAGAAUUUUGGAACAUUUGAGGGCACCGCCCUCCUCCCCCUUCCCCCUCUGUGGGACUCCGUUUUUUGCUGCUUUCCUCAUUAUUCUUCUCUUCCCCUGAAGAUUAAUCCCUCUCCUCCCUUUCUGCAAACCCUUGCCUCCUUCUUGCCUGUCUCCUGGCCCCCCCUUACUGCCAAAUUUUCUUUGCUCUCCUAAGAAAUACCUGCAUUUCUAAUGUUUCUCAAGUGGAAUGGCUUUUCUUUCUUUUUGCUCUUUUCUGUUGCCGGUACAGAAUCUGCGCUGAACAUGGCUCCCCCACCACGCUGUGUCCCUGGAGGUCUGGGCAAUUUUGGGUGACUUAUCAUCCUUUGGGAGGACUUCAGGCCUCCCUGUAUUUCCAGUAUAUGGGCAAUGCAUUUCUUUUCGUUGGACUUCCUGGGUGAGUGGAAUGAAUAAGUUUUGAUUCGACAGUGCCAUGCAGUCUGGAGAAAUACACAGUGACUAACUCUUAACUGAUAUUUUGAAUGGCUUCAUUGUUUCCUUUAUUGAUAUUUUAAUGUAUGUGCUUUAUAUUCCACCCUGCUGACUGGAGCUGACCAUGGCCCCUUAUAUCCUUGGGCUGAUUAAAUUGCUGUCUGUACAUCCGCUACAUAGCUCUUUAUUCAUUACAAACUCACAUUAGCUUCCAAGUCAGGCCUCUUUGGUAAUUGCUAUUUGUUGUGAAAGAAACUUUCAUUUCCAUUCUGUGCUAAUUACUAUAUUUAAGCUGGAUCUUUCCAUAAUUCUGAGAAGCAAUUGUCCAUCUUUUAUGAAAGCAACGGUAAUUCUUCCCACCUCCACUGUCAUUCUUCCCCUCUCUUGCACAGUAAACUGGGGCACAGUGCAAUCUCACAUCAGCCUUUCUUCUUUUAACCAUGGCUUGGUAAUAGCCCAUAGUUCUGUUGUGUCUGCUUACUCUCCAGUGCCAGUUGUCUACACAAAAGCCAAAAAGGAAAAAAAUAAAAGGGUAAGAAAGGGACUGCACGUCCCCAGGGAGAUGUGGAGGUUUUAUUUUGCUUUGCUUCUCUAUUGUUGCUGCUUUGUAACGAAUCUGUGGUAAGGAACAUCAUGUCUGCAGAACUGUGUUUAAAAUUAGAGAGGGGAGCAGCAUAUUGCUUUUUACCUUUUGUUUCACAGUUCUGGGACAUGUUAACAACAAGCAGUGGAAUUAAUUUGUUUGGCUGAUUUGGUCUCUGAGACCGCAGCAGGGUUUACCAAUCUUUUUGACUCACUUUAUGUUAGACAAUGGGUGAUAAUCAACCAGCGAGGACAUUCAGCACAUUUUUCCUGCUUUUAUGUGGGCUCCAGGUCACCACUAGAACAGUCAUUAGGCUUGGACUUGUUUUUAACUUCCCAGCGUACACACGCUUUUAUUCCACCCUGCAGCGGCUCCCAGCAAGACAGCCUCUCCUGGCAGAUUUUCUAAGCAGCAUUUGACACAUGACAGUCCAUGUAACCUGGGUCUGUGCACCGCCGUGUCUUGCUCUGGAGGAAGGCAUUUGUCAUAGCAUAUUGUUGUCUUCUUAUGGCUUAAGCCUUUAUAGCCUAAACCAGAAACUGCUGCCAUGUGGAGUGCUGGUAUUCUGUCUUGCUAUGACCUUUGUGGGAUGCUCACUGCCUUUGAAUGGGCUUUGGUUAAAAGCCCUUUGAGGAGAGAAGGUUCUCCAGGAAUUCGGGGAGGGGAGUCGCUCUGCUGCCUCUAGUGCUGCUGGUCCUGCAGGUAUAGGAAGGAUGAAGCUGCAGAAGGGGCCAUCCCACCUCUCCCCCUGCCCCAAUGGCCGGUGUGAGCUUCAUUCACCAAGGACCUUCAGCCUGGUGGUGUCAGGGCAACAGUUUUCAAAGGGGCUGUUCUUUCCUGCCAUCCCACUGUCUAGCUGCUGACUUUUAUGCAAAGUGAGUGUGAAAUGACAGGACACAACUGAUAUGUAGUUGGCGCAGUUAGCUAUGAGUGCUCAAAAUGCAAAGCACUGGAAGACAAAUCCUGAAAUAAUGAAUAGUUUGUUGCUGGCAUCAAUUAAUCAAAACAGACUUUUAUCAAAAGAAAUCACAGUGCUGACCAGAACAUCAGUGAUCAUUUACCUAGUUUUCCAUAUUGUG